rnacentral:rRNA from 1 species
GAGUUUGAUCCUGGCUCAGAUUGAACGCUGGCGGCAGGCCUAACACAUGCAAGUCGAGCGGUAGAGAGAAGCUUGCUUCUCUUGAGAGCGGCGGACGGGUGAGUAAUGCCUAGGAAUCUGCCUGGUAGUGGGGGAUAACGCUCGGAAACGGACGCUAAUACCGCAUACGUCCUACGGGAGAAAGCAGGGGACCUUCGGGCCUUGCGCUAUCAGAUGAGCCUGGGUCGGAUUAGCUAGUUGGUGAGGUAAUGGCUCACCAAGGCGACGAUCCGUAACUGGUCUGAGAGGAUGAUCAGUCACACUAGAACUGAGACACGGUCCAGACUCCUACGGGAGGCAGCAGUGGGGAAUAUUGGACAAUGGGCGGAAAGACCUGAUCCAGCCAUGCCGCGUGGUGUGAAGAAGGUCUUCGGAUU